CUUCAUGCUUUGGGCAUUGCAUGAUUUUGUCAUUGAACCUUUGCCACACCUCAUAUAAGGGCUCACCAGUAGGUUGACGAAAAUUUGUUAUUUUGUCUCUUAGUUG
rfam:Capsicum annuum cultivar Zunla-1 chromosome 11, whole genome shotgun sequence